UCCCACAGAAAAACCAAGUAAUUUCUCAUGCCUGAGUUAAACCACAGUUCACACCUAGGAACCUCUUUUCGUUGGUGGAAACACGAGUCACUGGUUCGAAACAUGUUCAGGAACCAGAUCGGGCUCUGAAUCGCAUUAGUGGAAAAGGAGUAUAUGUGUGCCAUACUCAAAAGCCCUCUUUGGAGUUAGGGCUGCAGGAGGGUGAGAUCUGCACCUCGUAAUCACCUUCGUGCCAUCACCGGAAGCGAACACAUCUGCUGGCCGAGACUGUGGAUGGUUUUGGAAAGUACAUGGGUGCACUUUUGGUUUCCGCUUGGCUGCUUCUCUGAGGCUGUUUUGUCUUAACAGGCUGCUUUUAAAAAAAGACUUUAAAGUGUUUAUUUGGUUGGUGGUCAGACAAUGGUGGGAUAAGCAGCUUUAAAUCUACAGUGGCGACCGGAGCAGUUCUGCAAAUGCUUUGAGGGCAAAUUAGCUUUUUCCACCGUGUGACUGUUUUCACUUCCUUUGAUUCUAUUCCUGUCUCAGUCACUGCACCCCACUCACAGGACUUAAAUAUGUGGUGGUUUUAAAAAGAAAUGUCAGCAGGAACUGUGCUCAUUUCUUAAAAUAUGAGUAAAGAGUUGCAUCAUUUA